GGAGAGAAGGGGUGGAGGGAGGACAGGAGGGAAGGAGGGAGGGGAGGGUAGAGGGUGAAGGGAGGAGAGGAAUGGAGGAGGGGAAGAGGAAGGGUGGGAGGAGAAGAGGAAUAACCUACAGGAAUUUGACCUCUUUCUGAGCUUGUUUAAAGGAAGGUAAUCCCUCUGGCAGACCUAGGGAGGAUGGAGGUGGAUGGGAAUGGGGAGGAGGAGGGGAGGAGGAGAGGAACAUGGAGAGGGAAGAAGAGGGGAGGAGAAGAGGAGCUGGCCUGAGGAACACAUGGAGAUUAACAGGAUAUUGGCUGGGGUGGGGAAGGCAUGGAGAUUAGCAGGAUAUUGGCUGGGGAGCAAGACCCUAACUCAGCACUCACACACACUCACAUAGACACACACACACACACAGACACUACAUAGACACACACAGCCUAACCCUAACUCAGCACCAACUCGAUACUCGGGAAUUGCUUCCAGCCAGCCAUGCAGUGUGUCAGCUAAAUAUCCAGCCUCCCAUCAGGGUGAUUAUUAGAGUGAGGGAGGGCAUGAGGAUGACUCUCCUAACCAAGGGGAUAAGGUUUUUUCUGGGUCAUAUUCAGGACCAUGGGUCAUAUUCAGGACCAUGGGUCAUAUACAGGACCAUGGGUCAUAUACAGGACCAUGGGUCAUAUACAGGACCAUGGGUCAUAUACAGGACCAUGGGUCAUAUACAGGACCAUGGGUCAUAUACAGGACCAUGUUGGUUACCAAGCUGUCAGGAUACUCACCCUCUUUCCAUCAGUGUCUCUGCCUCUCCUGCUAGCUGAUGACUUGACUGUGACAGGAGAAACUGAUACAGGAUCCAACUUUACAUUAAUACACUGUUUUUGUUUUAUGGGACUCAAAUUAACCUGGAGUGACAUAUGUUGUAUAUAAGUGACAGAAAAACAUUUGGUUUAAUCAAUAUAAUGUACAUUGUUUAAUGUGGUUUUUCAGAUGUUUUUCAGGUGUUUUAUAAAAAUAAAAGUUGGAUAAAAUUGUAUCUGAAACCA
ensembl:lncRNA